AAAGGUAGCGGCAGGCUUAACACAUGCAAGUCGAGGGGCAGCGCGGGGUAGCAAUACUCUGGCGGCGACCGGCGGAAGGGUGCGUAACGCGUGAGCAACAUGCCCGUGGCAGGGGGAUAAGCGAUGGAAACGUCGUCUAAGACCCCGUAACAACAGAGUUCGCAUGGACUUUGUUUGAAAGCUUCGGCGGCCACGGAUUGGCUCGCGUCCCAUUAGGCAGUUGGCGGGGUAACGGCCCACCAAACCGACGAUGGGUAGGGGUUCUGAGAGGAAGGUCCCCCACAAUGGAACUGAGACACGGUCCAUACUCCUACGGGAGGCAGCAGUGAGGAAUAUUGGUCAAUGGGCGGAAGCCUGAACCAGCCAUGCCGCGUGCUAACUCCGUGCCAGCAGCCGCGGUAAUACGGAGGAUGCGAGCGUUAUCCGGAUUCAUUGGGUUUAAAGGGUGCGUAGGCGGCGUGCCAAGUCAGGGGUGAAAGGUUCCGGCUCAACUGGGACAGUGCCUUUGAUACUGGUGUGCUGGAGUGCGCUUGCCGUGGGAGGAAUGAGUGGUGUAGCGGUGAAAUGCUUAGAUAUCACUCAGAACACCGAUUGCGAAGGCAUCUCACGAAGGCGUAACUGACGCUGAGGCACGAAAGCGUGGGGAUCAAACAGGAUUAGAUACCCUGGUAGUCCACGCCGUAAACGAUGAUGACUAACCGCCGGUCCGCUAGGGUCGGUGGCCAAGCGAAAGCGAUAAGUCAUCCACCUGGGGAGUACGACCGCAAGGUUGAAACUCAAAGGAAUUGACGGGGGCCCGCACAAGCGGAGGAACAUGUGGUUUAAUUCGAUGAUACGCGAGGAAGAGAGACAGAGAUGUUGACGUCCUUCGGGACACUUGUCGAGGUGCUGCAUGGUUGUCGUCAGCUCGUGCCGUGAGGUGUCGGCUCAAGUGCCAUAACGAGCGCAACCCCUGCUUCCAGUUACCAGCACGUAAAGGUGGGGACUCUGGAGGGACUGCCACCGCAAGGUGAGAGGAAGGGGAGGAUGACGUCAAAUCAGCACGGCCCUUACGUCCGGGGCGACACACGUGUUACAAUGGCGGCCACAGAGGGAAGCUACCCUGCGAGGGGAUGCGGAUCUCGAAAAGCCGUCUCAGUUCGGAUCGGAGUCUGCAACUCGACUCCGUGAAGCUGGAUUCGCUAGUAAUCGCGCAUCAGCCAUGGCGCGGUGAAUACGUUCCCGGGCCUUGUACACACCGCCCGUCAAGCCAUG
rnacentral:rRNA from 1 species